rnacentral:lncRNA from 13 species
CUUCCAAGUGUACUUUACUUCCUUUCAUUUUUGCCCUAAGCAUUUCAACAAACCUUCACUCCUGCUCUAAAACUUGCCUUGGUCUCUUCUUCUGCCUUAUGCCCUUCAGUUGAAUUCUUUCUUCUGAGGCGGCAAGAGUUGAUUUUGCUGAUGUAUUUUGGUGCCCUGCGACUCGGAUAACUUUCACCGCUAACAUGUUGGCACUGCAUGACUAGGAUACGUGCCCUAGAGUUUGGCUCCCACAGUUAAUAUUCAGCAAAGAGGGUCAUGAGGGCCACGCAGAGAAAGAAAACCCAGAAACCUGGCAUGCCAGACAAAAGGGGACAUGGAUGAAUCUGGAAAACAUCAUCCUCAGCAAACUGACACAAGAACAGAAGAUGAAACACCGCAUAUUCUCACUCAUAGGAUUCCAAGCAAGGAGGGCCAAGCAGCUAUUGCUCCAAUCUGGACUUCUAGUGAGAAAAGAAUAUUACUGCACAUUGAAAUUCAUCUGGUUACCCAAGAGCUCUGAUGGAAGUGUACAGUAG